AACGCGAAGAACCUUACCUGCCCUUGACAUCCUGCGAAUCCUGGAGAGAUCCGGGAGUGCCGAAAGGAACGCGGAGACAGGUGCUGCAUGGCUGUCGUCAGCUCGUGUUGUGAGAUGUUGGGUUAAGUCCCGUAACGAGCGCAACCCUUGUGCCUAGUUGCCAUCAUUAAGUUGGGGACUCUAGGGAGACUGCCGGUGAUGAACCGGAGGAAGGCGGGGACGACGUCAAGUCAUCAUGGCCUUUAUGGGCAGGGCCACACACGUGCUACAAUGGGGCGUACAGAGGGUCGCGAACCCGCGAGGGGGAGCCAAUCCCGAAAAGCGUCUCGUAGUCCGGAUUGGAGUCUGCAACCCGACUCCAUGAAGUUGGAAUCGCUAGUAAUCGCGAAUCAGCAUUGUCGCGGUGAAUACGUUCCCGGGCCUUGUACACACCGUAGUAC
rnacentral:rRNA from 1 species